rnacentral:rRNA from 1 species
UACGUAGGGGGCAAGCGUUGUCCGGAAUCAUUGGGCGUAAAGCGCGCGUAGGCGGCCCUGUAAGUCCGUUGUGAAAGUCGAAGGCUCAACCUUCGAAAGCCGAUGGAUACUGCAGGGCUAGAGUCCGGAAGAGGCGAGUGGAAUUCCUGGUGUAGCGGUGGAAUGCGCAGAUAUCAGGAGGAACACCGGUGGCGAAGGCGGAUCUCUGGGCCAUUACUGACGCUGAGGAGCGAAAGCGUGGGGAGCGAACAGG